GAGAGAGGUGUGGGGGAGGCUCUGCUUCAGCUGUGGGGCCACAGAAGGCAGGACUCAGGGAUGGACUCCACCAUGGCCUGGUCCCCUCUCCUGCUCACCGUCCUGGCUCACUGCACAGGGUCCUGGGCCCAGGCUGUGCUGACUCAGCCGCCCUCAGUGUCGGGGAACCCAGGACAGAGGGUCACCAUCUCCUGCACUGGAAGCAGCACCAACAUUGGGUAUGGUGAAGAUGUGUACUGGUUCCAACAGUUCCCAGCAAAACCCCCUAAAACCAUCAUCUAUGGUACUAGCAUCAGACCCUCUGGGAUCCCCGACCGAUUCUCUGGAUCCAAGUCUGGCAGUGUCGGCACCCUGACCGUCAGUGGGCUCCAGAUGGACGAUGAGGCUGACUAUUACUGCACAGCAUGGGACAGGAGUCUCAGUGCUCCCACAGUGCUGCAGGGCCGUGGGGAAGUGUGACAAAAACCUGCUGUCCCCUGCAGUGCAGUUCCCCGGUGCAGUCCCCACUCCUCUGAGAAGACAGCUGCUUUCUCGGUUUGCUUGGCCUGAACUCAGGUCUGAAACCCAACAUAGGACUUUUUCAGGAAUAUUUGUCACAUUCUUUGAACACUGCCUCUGAGGCCUGUCUGUGGCAGCAACACCUUGUGCAGUUUUCUCAAAUGAGGGGAAGGUCCUGUGUGUCAGGGGGAGGCUGUGCUAGGAACGGAAUCUGUGAUGGGUCAGCAAGAACCAGGGAAAGGGAACCAGCUGUGUUCGCAUCACUGCACAUCAGGAAGGCUGAGUGUGUGUUGUCACCAACAUGUCCCACUAAGCCCCAACCCUGCCCAUCACUCAUGACAGAUCCACCCUGUGUGGCCCAUGAUCCAUUCCCAGGAUCAGCUUUGGCAGCUCAGGGUCCCUGACCCUCACUGGCCUGAGAGCUGAGGACAAGACUGCUUCUCACAACCACCCUGUGACAGUGUCCUCUGUGCUCACACAGAGCUGCAGGCCUGUGGGACCUGAGACCAGGAGAAGCUCGUUCUCAUCUGCAGGAAGGGGACUUCCCAGCAUGUGCCACUCAGGACACCUGUGGCU